rnacentral:rRNA from 1 species
AUGCAGGUCGUUCGUCGCGCCAGCUUCAUGCAAGGGCAAGGGCAAUUAGCAGGCCGUGGACUGAUGGCGCAGGCGCCCUACGGAUGGUUCCGGCGCGGCACCAGCCGAAGGAGCUGCAGCCUUGCUCUGCGGUACAGUGAGCAACAUAUAGUUGGAAGCAUCCGCGACGACAACGCGAUGCGCAGCAACGGUGCGACAUCCAGAUACCAGUCGGCGCUGUACCGCGUCCAGCUUCAAGACGCCGGAGCCGGAGGCACUAGCGCAAGGACGGUGCUGGUCAAGAAGCUGUCCCAGAACGAGAACGAGUCGACGGCACGGGGCGUCGUCGAUCUCGACGGCCGGUGCCAGUCGGAGGUGAACCUGCUGGGCGGCAUCCGUCACGCGAACAUCAUCAACCUCGUGGGUUCCAUCUGGAGGGACACCUUCAUCCUGCUCGUCUACGACCACAUGGACAACGGCAGCCUCCACCAGUGGCUGCACCCGGGCCCCCUUCCCCUCCCCCUGCCGGAGGCCGAGCGGCGGCAGACGGCGACGUCGCAGUUGGACUGGCCGACGAGGCGGUCCAUCGCCAUCGGCGUCGCCAGAGGGCUCUGUUACCUGCACCACGGACGCAGCAACUACCACAUCGUUCACCACAACAUCAACUCUACCAGCAUCCUGCUCGACCGUGACCUCAGGCCCAAGAUCGCAGGCUUCGGCCUGGCACGGGUCAACCUCGCCGGGCUGGACCACCCGGUGCCUGCCUCGGAGCUCACGGCUGCCAACAUAUUCGGCUACACGGCUCCAGAGUAUGCGACCGUGGUGACGGAGAAGGUGGACGUGUACAGCUUCGGCGUGGUGCUGCUGGAGCUCGUCACCGGUCGGGUGGCCAACGAAGCGGUGCCGGGUGGCCACUUGGCAACCUGGGCACGGAGGCACUGCGAGGAGGAGGACGGUAGAGGUUUCAGCGAAGUCGUCGUAGACAUCCGGAUCCCAGACCGAGCACGACACGUGAAGGAGAUGGCGGCCGUGUUCAGGCUGGGCGUGGAGUGCACCAUUCCGGACCCCGGGGAGAGGCCACCCAUGCUCAAGGUUCUCUGCCGACUCCGCAGGCGUCGCCGCUGA